rnacentral:rRNA from 1 species
AUAUUAAAGUUGUUGCAGUUAAAAAGCUCGUAGUUGAAUUUUAGGCCUGACCGGGCGGUCCGUCUCUGGCGAGUACUGUUCUGUUGUCGGGUCUAUCCUUCUGGUGAGCCGGUAUGUCCUUUAUUGGGUGUGUCGGGGAACCAGGACCAUUACCUUGAAAAAAUUAGAGUGUUUAAAGCGGGCUUUUGCUUGAAUAGAUUAGCAUGGAAUAAUAGAAUAGGACGUUGGUUCUAUUUUGUUGGUCUAGGACCACCGUAAUGAUUAAUAGGGAUAGUUGGGGGCAUUAGUAUUCAAUUGUCAGAGGUGAAAUUCUUGGAUUUAUUGAAGACUAACUACUGCGAAAGCAUUUGCCAAGGAUGUUUUCAUUAAUCAAGAACGAAAGUUAGGGGAUCGAAGACGAUCAGAUACCGUCGUAGUCUUAACCAUAAACUAUGCCGACUGGGAAUCGGGCGACGUUAUUUUCAUGACUCGCUCGGCGCCUUAUAGGAAACC